GCCGAGAACUUUUCAAUCGACCUAUUAUGUAGUCGAUGGAAGCUAGGGAAAUUCAUACACCAAUUUUCUGCAUAUUAAAUGGAUGGGAGCUAAAGAAAGUAUUGACCCGAUGUCUCAUAUAUUGACGAAUAUAGAUGUUAUGAAGUCAAGUGGAAGUUCAAAAAUUUUUAUAUUGGGAGGUCCAAAAACAGCGGGACUUACAGUUACAUAUUCGGUAUAUGGGGUUUGAAAAGUUAUGAGCCGAUUUCAAAAUCUUCGAUGCAAUCGAACUUAACGUCAUUUCAAGACUAAACAUAAUUUCGACGGAGAGUGGGUAACUUUUCAAAAGAAAUAUGCAUACGAGUAACCACAUACAAUACUUUGUCAUUUGUAAACAACCUGAAUAUUCGAUUUUGCACCUUAAGGUCAGUAUAGAAAGUAGCGAAACUAACAAAUAGAAAACAAGUAAGAAUGGGCUAAGUUCGGGUGUCACCGAACAUUUUAUACUCUCGCAUGAUAAAGUGAUAAUCGAGAUUUCAUUAUCCGACAUUUACAUAUUUUUUUAUUUUGCUGUAAAAUUAAUUAGAUUAGUACUUCCUGAGAUAUGGUUUUUGGUCCAUAAGUGGGCGACGCCACGCCCAUUUUCAAUUUAAAAAAAAGCCUGGGUGCAGCUUCCUUCUGCCAUUUCUUCCGUAAAAUUUAGUGUUUCCGACGAUUUUUGUUAGUCGGUUAACGCACUUUUAGUGAUUUUCAACAUAACCUUUGUAUGGGAGGUGGGCGUGGUUAUUAUCCGAUUUCUUCCAUUUUUGAACUGUAUAUGGAAAUUCCUCUCUAUAGAGUUUGGUUGACAUAGCUAUAGUAGUUUCCGAGAUAUGUAUAAAAAACUUAGUUGGGGGCGGGGCCACGCCCACUUUUCCAAAAAAGUUACGUCCAAAUAUGCCCCUCCAUAAUGCGAUCUUUUGUGCCAAAUUUCACUUUAAUAUCUUUAUUUAUGGCUCAGUUAUGACACUUUAUAGGUUUUCGGUUUUCGCCAUUUUGUGGGCGUGGCAGUGGGCCGAUUUUGCCCAUCUUCGAACUUAACCUUCUUAUGGAGCCAAGAAAUACGUGUACCAAGUUUAAUCAUGAUAUCUCAAUUUUUACUCAAAUUACAGCUUGCACGGACGGACGGACGGACGUACGGACGGACAGAUAGACAUCCGGAUUUCAACUCUACUCGUCACCCUGAUCACUUUGGUACAUAUAACCCUAUAUCUGACUCUUUUAGUUUUAGGACUUACAAACAACCGUUAUAUGAACAAAACUAUAAUACUCUCAUUAGCAACUUUGUUGCGAGAGUAUAAAAAUAACAAUACUUACAUACAAAAACUUAUUUAAUAAAUUUAUUUUUAACUUUUGUAUACAUAAAUAUAAUUCUGAAUGGGAAUACAGUUUUUUGAUAAUCUGUAAUUAAAAGAUUUCGCUCACAUUAAUUUUUUUCUGGCUUAACUAUCAUAAUAAGGCCACUUAUUUAUAUAAAAUAUGUAUGUAUGGAUCGAUUGAAUUAUGUAUUACUACAGUUACAAUUCGAGCUGAUAGACAUUUAACUAAAUCCUAAAUAUACGUAAAAUUGUGAGAUUCAUUUGCACACAUAAGUAUGUACAAAAAGACGGAAUCGUUGC